UUUCGCUGCUCCGUAGAAACCUCCCAGCGUGCUGCAGUCUCUCCCCUGGACCUUUACGCUUUCUGCUUUUAGAGACAGUGAUCACAAAAAACAUAUUUUAAGGUUGAGUAAGGCUCUGGUUUCCUUUUGGAACUGUUUGUGCUGGGAUAAAAAUCGCCUUUCUGUGUGCUGAGGAGGUUUUGGGGAUCAAUUGCUGAUGAGGUGUGACGGCGGCUGGCAGCACAGACCUUGCCUUUCCCUGAAGCUUGCACUGUGCUGUGGCUGAGGGUGGCUGUUGGGCUGACCCUUGUGAUAAUCUUACCUGACAUAAAUUUGGAAGAUGUGAUAAGGCAGAAAUGUUAGCGUUGCUUCUUUCUGGCUUUCCUGGGCCAUAUGUUAAAAGGAAAAAAUAUAAAAAAAAAAUCUUUGCAGAAUGAAGGACUUAUCUGCCCUCCCCUUCCAGUCUCGAGUCCGGCCAUGCUGCCGGGCAACUGAAGGUGCAACGCUGCAGGCCCAGCGUCCCCCGUGAGCCUUGCCUGGUGGCUUCUCUUUGUCCCCCUCCAGCCCGGGUUUCACCUCUUUUUCUUUCCUGUGUUCUUGCCUGGUGGCUCUCUUUGUCCCCCUCCAGCCCGGGUUUCACCUCUUUUUCUUUCCUGUGCUCUUGCCUGGUGGCUCUCUUUGUCCCCCUCCAGCCCGGGUUUCACCUCUUUUUCUUUCCUGUGCUCUUGGGCUUGCUGGCUACUGGUUGCCCUUGAGUCAUUGGGUUAAAGCAAGGCAGUGAGGAGGCAGUGAUCUGUUUGAGGAGCUGCACUUGGGAAAGGCUCCUUGCCCGUAGGAGGGUCUUGUUCUCCAGAGAAGCUACUGGAUGCAGAGACAGCAUUGCCUAUUGAAGUGAGGGGUUUUAAUCGAUGAACAGAUGGGCAAGUGAAGAGAUCAAAUGCCUGGCGGUAAAGCUGUCACCCAGGUCAAAGCAAGGUUGCUGUGAAAAACGGUUUUGACAUUCUCUGCUGCGCCGUUUGCAAGGCAAACAGAAACCACGUCCUGGAUCCAAGUGCUAGUGAGCAGUGCAAAGACCAAAGGGAUUUUUAAUUAAAGAGAAAAUAGAAGGGUAAGCAAAAAGCAAGAGCUAGAUUGCACUGGCGGUGAUUACUUCUAGCUGCAAACCAAAGACACGGAGUGAGGGGGGGUUCAAGGCUAAGUGAACAAUUUCAAGCUCUCGGUGCAAACACUGCGAAGCACAAACAGAAGACCGAAUAGAUAGCUCAAACAAAGCUCUGAGAGGGUGCAGGAACAGAGGGCUGCUUUGGCUCUCUUAACGAAUAACGAGGAACGAGCUGCUCAGACAGAUUGGUUUGCGGCACUGGGAAUAAAUGGACAAAAGGAAAACUUUCAAAGCAGUGCUGCAGCUGAGCGCGACGUUGGUUCAGCUAAGCUGGGACAUCAGACCAGUAAGCUCGUUUCAACCAGCAGGUCCCGAGCAAGGCCGCUCUGCAAUGUCUGGGCGUAAUGAGGGAUGCGAUUUCGAGGGAGGAAGGGAAUAAGGAGUCCCAUCUGCCUGGAAGAAAAGCUCUUUCAUUAUUGCUCUUGUGGUCAGCACGUUUUUUUCAAUCAGCUGCGCUGGUUUGAAGGUCUGGAAGGCUGCGGGGCACAGAAAUAACCAUUCACAGCAGGCGGCACAGGCUGGUACCGUCCCCAGGUGGAAAUGGCAGCGCUUGGGAUGCCUCCCCGUUGUAGCACUUGUGAAGAGUUUUCAGUCAUGGUGCUGGGAGCUGUGGAGAACGGGGAGCAAAGCUGAAAACUUGGAAAAAACCCAACGUAUUUGGGGGGAGAGAACAUUGUUUCUCGUGGCAGUUCCUGUUCUUGCUGGCUGUCCUGCCUCGGAGUAAGAAACGUUGGCGCUACAGAAGCUGAGGGCUGUAGAAAGCUGCAGUCAUACAUGAUCCCGAGGUUGAAGAGGACGUUUCUCAGGGCCCUCAGUCUGCCUCUACCACUGACCCUCAUCAGGGACUUCUCAGCCAUUUACUCCCAGUCCCCAAACUCCAUGGGAGCCCGGCCUCAGAGGGGGCUUGGGAGAGGAGUAAGGCGAGUAGCUGCACGCUCGUCUCCAGCCUGUCCUCAGAGCCGAGGUGGGAAUGGUGACUCUGUAAUAAGAGUCAUUUGGGACUAACUGCCACAUACACUUGACUAAUCUGGAAAUAUAUUAAGCCCAUGAACUACUGCAGCUAUGAUUUGCAUGUCAGUACCAGAAGGGGAAUUGCCUCCCGCCUUCUCCUCUCUGCGUUUUGAUCCUGUGAAGUGCCAGGUAUCCCCAGCUCCAGUCCAUUUAAUUGAUUCCAGGAGGUAGUGGAGACCUCCUGGGAUAACGAGGGCUUCUGGGCUGCAGGAGGCUUCUGGCAGCUGAGAGUGGAGCCAUCGGUGUUGGCCGGCUGGCGGUGCUUCCUCCCAGGCAGCUCUCCCUGUCCUGCCUGCUUCAGCUUGAGGGACCAGGAUGUCCUGCUGCUGCCCACCAGAGCCCUGGGCGCAGGAUGCGGCCAGGGGAGAGGCAGAAUCUGCGAGUGGCCUGGGGACAGCCGUGUGCUACGGAGGGCCACGGGUGACUGCUGAACAGGGCGACAUUUUUCCUUAAAGGCCAAGCGCACCGUGUAAGUGGAAGGAGAAAUGCAUUGUGCAAACCUGGAGGGCAGAGCCUCUUGUUCCCGUCUCUCCCGCUCCCAGCCCAACCUGGUGCUUAAACGGAACGAAGACCCAGCUCUGAAAAGCACCUCCUCUUGGUGGGGAAGGGAAGGAGACGCUGUAAGGUGGCUGUGUUGAAGCUUCUCGGAAGGACCAUGCAGCUGGGGCACGCGAUGUGCUAGGAACCAUGGCGGAGGGGGGGGAAGGCGCCCUCGGUGUUGCCAGGGGGCUGCUCGCUGGGUGCACGGGGCAGGACCGGGGUGAAAUCCCUCAGGAGAUGCAUCAGCCUUAGUAAAAGUGCCUGACGGCCCCCUUCCAACAGGAAUUUGGGAGAUGUCCCUGCGUCGGCUGAGUAACGGGCGCCUGGCAGCCCUGGGGAACAGAGCUGGGGUCCCCUGGGUGCCCCUGCCCACCCAGAGCAUCCCCCGCCGCCGGUGCUUUUCACUGGGGAGCUGCUUAAAAUGUGCUCGGCAGGGGAAAGCUCGGCAGGGCCGGGGCUGCGCCUUGGAGGCUGAGGCUGGA